CACGUAGGGUGCGAGCGUUGUCCGGAAUUAUUGGGCGUAAAGAGCUCGUAGGCGGUGUGUCGCGUCGGCCGUGAAAACUUGGGGCUUAACUCUGAGCGUGCGGUCGAUACGGGCAUCACUUGAGUUCGGCAGGGGAGACUGGAAUUCCUGGUGUAGCGGUGAAAUGCGCAGAUAUCAGGAGGAACACCGGUGGCGAAGGCGGUUCUCUGGGCCUUACCUGACACUGAGGAGCGAAAGCGUGGGGAGCGAACAGG
rnacentral:rRNA from 1 species